rnacentral:lncRNA from 1 species
AACAAGAGAGCACUGGGAGAAGAGCCAAUGAAAUGUAUGGAGUGGACGAUAUGUUGAAUGAGGGGACUGGAGGAACAAGUAUCACCUUGCGGUUCGGGAGAGUUAGAGGCUAAUGGCAGGCUUGUGGACGACUGCGGGAAGGACACGUGGAUUUCCAAAGAACUGGAAAGCCUGGGCUUGGCAGCUCUACUUGGCAUUGAACCCAAGAGCAGAGAAGAAGGAGAUUACGCAAUGGUUUUUCUCCAAUCAGAAACACACAGAAGGAUCUUAGUUAUUCACCUCUCAUAUCUGCAUUGAGGAUAAACUCUGAGGACUAUCAUUUAUCCAAGGUCUUUGCAACGGAUCGAAAGGAAAGGACAAAACAGAGAUGCAAUCUUUUCAACUCUAGCUGAGUGAAGUGGACAGAGGGAAGUCUGUGGGCUUCCACUUGUGCCAGCACAGCAGAAGCCUGAGCUACUAGGAUCUUCCACUUCCAUAUACAGAGGAAGCUGCCCUCUCUUCCUUCCCUUUGUCUUUUCCAAAAA